UACGUAGGGUGCAAGCGUUAAUCGGAAUUACUGGGCGUAAAGCGUGCGCAGGCGGUUUUGUAAGUCUGGCGUGAAAGCCCCGGGCUCAACCUGGGAAUUGCGAUGGAGACUGCAAGGCUUGAAUCUGGCAGAGGGGGGUAGAAUUCCAGGUGUAGCGGUGAAAUGCGUAGAUAUCUGGAGGAACACCGGUGGCGAAGGCGGCAUCCUGGACCGGUAUUGACGCUGAGGCGCGAAAGCCAGGGGAGCAAACGGG
rnacentral:rRNA from 1 species